CCUACGGGUGGCAGCAGUGGGGAAUAUUGCUCAAUGGGGGAAACCCUGAUGCAGCAACGCCGCGUGAGGGAAGAAGGAUUUCGGAUUGUAAACCCCUUUUAGCAGGGAAGAAAAUGACGGUACCUGAUUAAGAAGCACCGGCUAACUACGUGCCAGCAGCCGCGGUAAUACGGAGGGGGCAAGCGUUAUCCGGAAUUACUGGGCGUAAAGGGAGCGCAGUCGGGAUGGCAAGUCUGCAGUGAAAGCCGGGGGCCUAACCCCAGAACUGCGGUGGAAACUGUGAUGCUAGAGUACGGGAGGGGUAGGCGGAAUUCGUAGUGUAGCGGUAAAAUGCGUAGAGAUUAGGAGGAACACCAAUGGCGAAGGCGGCCUGCUGGAGCGUAACUGACGCUGAGGCGCGAAAGCGUGGGGAGCAAACAGGAUUAGAUACCCGUGUAGUC
rnacentral:rRNA from 1 species